rnacentral:rRNA from 1 species
GACGAACGCUGGCGGCGUGCCUAACACAUGCAAGUCGAACGGGACCAGGGGCAACUCUGGUUCAGUGGCGGACGGGUGCGUAACACGUGAGGAACAUGACCUUCGGCGGGGGAGUAGCCGGCCCAACGGCCGGGUAAUACCGCGUACGACCACAUGGGGACAUCCCUGAGUGGUGAAAGCAGCAAUGCGCCGAUGGAGUGCCUCGCGGCCUAUCAGCUAGUUGGUGAGGUAACGGCUCACCAAGGCGACGAC